AGAGUUUGAUCCUGGCUCAGGAUGAACGCUAGCGGCAGUAAUACAUGCAAGUCGAGGGGCAACAGGGGUAGCAAUACCUGCUGGCGACCGGCAAACGGGUGCGGAACACGUACAGAACCUUCCUUUAAGCGGGGAAUAGCCCGGAGAAAUCCGGAUUAAUACCCCAUAGUAAUGUUGGGUGGCAUCAUUUGGCAUUUAAAGAUUUAUCACUUAAAGAUGGCUGUGCGUAUGAUUAGGUAGUUGGUUGAGGUAACGGCUCACCAAGCCAACGAUCAUUAACUGGUGUGAGAGCACGACCAGUCACACGGGCACUGAGACACGGGCCCGACUCCUACGGGAGGCAGCAGUAAGGAAUAUUGGUCAAUGGACGCAAGUCUGAACCAGCCAUGCCGCGUGAAGGAUGAAGGUCCUCUGGAUUGUAAACUUCUUUUAUGUGGGAAGAAAUGCAUUCUUUAUAGAGUGUUUGACGGUACCAUAGGAAUAAGCACCGGCUAACUCCGUGCCAGCAGCCGCGGUAAUACGGAGGGUGCAAGCGUUAUCCGGAUUCACUGGGUUUAAAGGGUGCGUAGGUGGGCUUGUAAGUCAGUGGUGAAAUCUCCGUGCUUAACAUGGAAACUGCCAUUGAUACUAUAGGUCUUGAAUUUUCCGGAGGUUAGCGGAAUAUGUCUGUAGCGGUGAAAUGCUUAGAUAUGACAUAGAACACCAAUUGCGAAGGCAGCUAACUACAGGGAUAUUGACACUGAGGCACGAAAGCGUGGGGAUCAAACAGGAUUAGAUACCCUAGUAGUCC
rnacentral:rRNA from 1 species